rnacentral:rRNA from 1 species
AUUGAACGCUGGCGGCAGGCCUAACACAUGCAAGUCGAGCGGAUGAAGGGAGCUUGCUCCUGGAUUCAGCGGCGGACGGGUGAGUAAUGCCUAGGAAUCUGCCUGGUAGUGGGGGAUAACGUCCGGAAACGGGCGCUAAUACCGCAUACGUCCUGAGGGAGAAAGUGGGGGAUCUUCGGACCUCACGCUAUCAGAUGAGCCUAGGUCGGCUUAGCUAGUUGGUGGGGUAAAGGCCUACCAAGGCGACGAUCCGUAACUGGUCUGAGAGGAUGAUCAGUCACACUGGAACUGAGACACGGUCCAGACUCCUACGGGAGGCAGCAGUGGGGAAUAUUGGACAAAGGGCGAAAGCCUGAUCCAGCCAUGCCGCGUGUGUGAAGAAGGUCUUCGGAUUGUAAAGCACUUUAAGUUGGGAGGAAGGGCAGUAAGUUAAUACCUUGCUGUUUUGACGGUACCAACAGAAUAAGCACCGGCUAACUUCGUG